UACGUAGGUCCCGAGCGUUGUCCGGAUUUAUUGGGCGUAAAGCGAGCGCAGGUGGUUUAUUAAGUCUGGUGUAAAAGGCAGUGGCUCAACCAUUGUAUGCAUUGGAAACUGGUAGACUUGAGUGCAGGAGAGGAGAGUGGAAUUCCAUGUGUAGCGGUGAAAUGCGUAGAUAUAUGGAGGAACACCGGUGGCGAAAUCGGCUCUCUGGCCUGUAACUGACACUGAGGCUCGAAAGCGUGGGGAGCAAACAGG
rnacentral:rRNA from 1 species